UACUAUGCCUAGGCUGAAGAAAAUGGCUCAGGAAGAUGAACAAUCUCACAGAGCCCUAACUAACUGAAGCCAGGUGUUAUAAAGCACAAGUCAAGAGGGCUGGCUUCUUCCCUCAGCCUCGUCCGACCCCAGCCUGGGUUCAAUGAACAUUCGGUAAAGGAACACGGAAUGUCAAGCGCAUUAGAGACAACCUUGAGACACAUUCCUCUUGCGGAACAUCAGUCCUGAAUCCUCAGACCACCAUCUGGAGUAGUAAGUGCUCCUGACAGUCCUAGAAGUUGUCUACCGCUGGAUCUCCAAAGCGUGUGACACACCGUGAGAGAGAAAUGAGAAAGCUGGGCUCUUCAGGUAAAUCUUGCUUUUUCAC